UCUUUAACGAGAUCCGAAAGCACUGGUAGUAAAUCCAAAAUUGCGGGAUAAUAAACUGUCGAGCUGACACACUGGCAAACUGUCCAAACCAAUACGAGCUUACAAAAGUUGGCAUCUCGAAACUGUUGAGAGUUUUGAAAGCAUUUUGUAAACUUGAAUGCCAUAUCGUCUGAAGGGAUUUGUCUGCACACCGACCAAGCAUAUGCAUGAUUUUGUGAAGACAGGAGAAAGCACGCAAGGAACUGCAUAAC